CUAAUUCUGUGGACAAGUGACCGAUUCCAGCUGCAGCUUCAGCGUCUAUUUUAUAGUGUAGGGGGCUGGCGCUUUGGAUUCUAGACAGCAUUUGAUUGGACAGAAAGUUUGAUGAGAAGCUGAAGUACGAUCUG